rnacentral:rRNA from 1 species
CGAGUCUAGGUGGAGCAUAGUCUCGGGAACUGCGGAUAAUUCUCCAUAGACCAUGAGAUCUGGAACGACUUAUGGUUGAAAGUUCCGGCGCUUUAGGAUCGGUCUGCGGCCUAUCAGGUAGUAGUGGGUGUAACGUACCCCCUAGCCAAUUACGGGUAUGGGCCUUGAGAGAGGGAGCCCCCAGUUGGAUUCUGAGACACGAAUCGAGGGGCUACGGGGGGCACCGAUCGCG